UACGUAGGGUGCGAGCGUUAAUCGGAAUUACUGGGCGUAAAGCGUGCGCAGGCGGUUCGUUGUGUCGGUGGUGAAAGCCCCGGGCUCAACCUGGGAAUGGCCAUGGAAACUGGCGAACUGGAGUGUGGCAGAGGGGGGUGGAAUUCCGCGUGUAGCAGUGAAAUGCGCAGAUAUCGGGAGGAACACCUAUGGCGAAGGCAGCUCGCUGGGACGUUACUGACGCUGAGACGCGAAAGCGUGGGGAGCAAACAGG
rnacentral:rRNA from 1 species